rnacentral:sRNA from 1 species
GCGUAGUAAUAUCAGACAAUACUGCAUAUGCAGUGUAAAAAUUUUGUCAACAAACCCACGUUGAGAACAACUGGUGACUGUCCAUCUUCGACAUAGUAAGAUGAAUGUCAAGAAACUGAUUAACAUUAACUGACAAGAGGAGACAAUCAGAGCCCAACAUCAUUCUUCAUUUCUGGUGAAGGGGAGAGUUGCUAAAUUUGGGCGCACAGCAAAAUUCAAGCAAAACAAAGAAAAAGACGGAUGCUGUAAAUGCGGUGUUGGCUUCCCAGUUCAGCACUUUAAAAGAGGGACAAACAUUGCACAUUUGCAACUUCUAAAUGGAAGCAGGGCCUCUUAAAUAUGCUGGAAUCCUCAUCUUAAUGGCCUUAACACCAUUUUCAAGAAUAUCCUGCUGAAAAAGACAGCUGCCAUUGGUAUAAUGGAUGCAAGACAACACUAGUGUAUUGAAAUUGUUGUUACCACAAAUGGCACACACCAGGAUUACACGCUUUCCAAAAACACAUUUACGGCAUGCAGCUAUGAAGGGAUUCUUUGGAAGUCUAUGUUCUGUAAUGGGGAAGUUCUCUUGAAGAUUCCAUUAGUAUUAAAAUAAAAACUUAAAAGUUAAAAGUUCAAAUGUCUUCAGUACUAGAGACCUGUGAUUUGACAGUACAACAUCGAGCAAUUGUAAAGGACACAUAAUUUGUACACUAUUGAAUAUCAAUCUAUAGUUAUCCAUAAAUUACUUGGCUUUUACAUUGUACAUGUAUUGUAAUUCUCAACAUUUGCAUAUAUGUUUGAUCUUUGUUAAAUAUAUGUAUGGUGUACAGUACAGUAAGUAGAUACAUUCUUUCUAAGUUUUAAACAUUUGUCAACAAAAUGUAUGAACUGCAAUCUGAGGAUCAUUUAGAGGUCUGCAAUUCUCCACAUAUAAAAUGACUUUGAAAUCAACCUGUUACUGUUAAACUUGAGAAUAUGUUAAGAAAACUUCAAAAUCUCUUUAUUGACUACACAUUGUCCAUAUAUUUUGUGUAUCAUUCUAUAAAGCUGAUUUCUCAAUGGCUUUUGAUUCUCAAGUGAGCAAAGUGACACACAGAUAACUUGAUUGUGUACAAUACUGUAAUCAAGUGAUGUACAAAUGUAACUUCUGUAUAUUGGUGAAACAUUAUUGUAAAGAAUAAAAUACUGCAGUCUCAGAAGUUCAGUUCAUUUAAUUCUAAUACUAUAAUAUUCUUUCAUCAUUUUGAUGUCAAAAUGACUAUUUUUAAUAAAUUGGCAUAAUAAAUG